CAUUGCUGGCUGGUCCCAGUGCAGAAGUUGUAGCUGACCUGUAGCAGGUGACAGCUGAAGAAGUGGACUGAUGGCAACCUCAGAAAGCUGAAAAAAGGGAAAUGCAAACCCCUGUGCUGUGGGUGGGACAGGAAGGAUGUAGAGAAGGAUGCGUGGGCAAGGAGUACCAGCAGCUGGGCUCUCCUGGGAGGCUCAAGCCUUGUGGUGAUCCUGUGCCCAUGUGGCUUUUCCUGGUGGCUUCCCCGAGGCUCCCUUGGGCACACACAGCGCUGGCUGCCACGAAGUUCACCACGGGACUGAAAUGAGAAUAAUUUUGCAGCCUGGGAGAUGGAUUCCUGCCUGUCAGAAAGGCCAUUCCAGCGUCCAGGGUGCAUCCUCCGUGUUAAUCGACAGGUCCCCAGUGAGAAAUACUUCUGCAGAGAAGACAGAGGGGAAAACAUGAACAAUGGGCUUCUCCUGCCCUAAUUGCAAGUACAGCAGGCAUGUCAAGUGUGAAUUUGAGAGACAGAGGUUCACCUUGAAAUAGGUCUCUUCUACGUGGAGCAGAUCUUCUGCCUUUUUAAGAACAUCUCAAGGCCACCUUGCUGCUGUUUGUUUUCCUUUUCUGGAGGUUGGGACAAGAAGAUGAAAACUUGUAGCUUGAAUUGCUCAAUACCCACCAGUUCUAAACUUUAACCUUACCUCAGCCAGGAAUUUUUGAAGGUGUUUUGAGGACCUGGAAUAAAUGAAUCCAUAUUUUAUAAGCCAGUCUUUUAAUGGAUUUGCUGUGUGUUACUCCUGUCAGUGUGUCUCCAGAAAGAAUAGGAGAGCAAAUUUUUGUGUUUCCACUGAUUAUUUUUUUUGGUAAGCAAUUUGGUCUGAGGAAAAUUUUGAAUGAAGAGCAUUGCAACCAGAAGAUAAAUGGCAAUCAAUACUCGUUUCAACAUAAUGUAUGCCUGAAAUUAUACUUACCUAUGCACAAACACAA